GGCCUACGGGUGGCUGCAGUGGGGAAUAUUGGACAAUGGGCGCAAGCCUGAUCCAGCCAUGCCGCGUGAGUGAUGAAGGCCCUAGGGUUGUAAAGCUCUUUCACCGGUGAAGAUAAUGACGGUAACCGGAGAAGAAGCCCCGGCUAACUUCGUGCAAGCAGCCGCGGUAAUACGAAGGGGGCUAGCGUUGUUCGGAAUUACUGGGCGUAAAGCGCACGUAGGCGGAUAUUUAAGUCAGGGGUGAAAUCCCGGGGCUCAAACCCGGAACUGCCUUUGAUACUGGGUGUCUCGAGUCCGGAAGAGGUGAGUGGAAUUCCGAGUGUAGAGGUGAAAUUCGUAGAUAUUCGGAGGAACACCAGUGGCGAAGGCGGCUCACUGGUCCGGUACUGACGCUGAGGUGCGAAAGCGUGGGGAGCAAACAGGAUUAGAUACCCUAGUAGUCAGA
rnacentral:rRNA from 2 species